GGGGCAGUAGCUCAGCUGGGAGAGCGCCUGGUUCGCAAUCAGGAGGUCGGGGGUUCGAUCCCCCCCUGCUCCA
rnacentral:tRNA from 1 species